rnacentral:rRNA from 1 species
GGGUAAUGGCUCACCAAGGCGACGAUCCGUAACUGGUCUGAGAGGAUGAUCAGUCACACUGGAACUGAGACACGGUCCAGACUCCUACGGGAGGCAGCAGUGGGGAAUAUUGGACAAUGGGCGAAAGCCUGAUCCAGCCAUGCCGCGUGUGUGAAGAAGGUCUUCGGAUUGUAAAGCACUUUAAGUUGGGAGGAAGGGCAGUUGCCUAAUACGUAACUGUUUUGACGUUACCGACAGAAUAAGCACCGGCUAACUCUGUGCCAGCAGCCGCGGUAAUACAGAGGGUGCAAGCGUUAAUCGGAAUUACUGGGCGUAAAGCGCGCGUAGGUGGUUUGUUAAGUUGGAUGUGAAAUCCCCGGGCUCAACCUGGGAACUGCAUUCAAAACUGACUGACUAGAGUAUGGUAGAGGGUGGUGGAAUUUCCUGUGUAGCGGUGAAAUGCGUAGAUAUAGGAAGGAACACCAGUGGCGAAGGCGACCACCUGGACUAAUACUGA